AGUGAACGCUGGCGGCGUGCCUAAUACAUGCAAGUCGAACGGAGUGGCGCACGGGUGAGUAAUAUAUAGCUAACUUGCCCAUUACUAAGGGACAACAGUUGGAAACGACUGCUAAUACCUUAUAGUAAUGGAUAGGGCUAUAUCGUAUCAGCUAGUUGGUAAGGUAACGGCUUUCCAAGGGUAUGACGGGUAACUGGUCUGAGAGGAUGGAGAGGCACACGUGAACUGGGACACGGUGCAGACUCCUAAGGGAGGCAGCAAGAGGGGAUAUUGCACAAUGGGGGAAACCCUGAAGCAGCAACGCCGCGUGGAGGAUGACACUUUUCGGAGCGUAAACUCCUUUUCUUGGGAAAGCGGUACCCAAGGAAUAAGCACCGGCUAACUCCGUGCCAGCAGCCGCGGUAAUAC
rnacentral:rRNA from 1 species